AGAUUGAACGCUAGCGGGAUGCUUUACACAUGCAAGUCGAACGGCAGCGCGGACUUCGGUCUGGCGGCGAGUGGCGAACGGGUGAGUAAUAUAUCGGAACGUGCCCAGUAGCGGGGGGAUAACUACGCGAAAGCGUGGCUAAUACCGCAUACGCCCUACGGGGGAAAGGGAGGGAUUCUUCGGAACCUCUCACUAUUGGAGCGGCCGAUAUCAGAUUAGCUAGUUGGUGAGGUAAAGGCUCACCAAGGCGACGAUCUGUAGCUGGUUUGAGAGGACGACCAGCCACACUGGGACUGAGACACGGCCCAGACUCCUACGGGAGGCAGCAGUGGGGAAUUUGGACAAUGGGGGAAACCCUGAUCCAGCCAUCCCGCGUGUGCGAUGAAGGCCUUCGGGUUGUAAAGCACUUUUGGCAGGGAAGAAACGGCGUCCCGUUAAUACGGGCGUCACUGACCGGUACCGCCAGAAUAAGCACCGGCUAACUACGUGCCAGCACGCCGC
rnacentral:rRNA from 1 species